GACAGAGGGUGCAAGCGUUGUUCGGAAUCAUUGGGCGUAAAGGGCGCGUAGGCGGUCAGGUAAGUCAACUGUGAAAGCCCAGGGCUCAACCUUGGAAGUGCAGCUGAAACUACCUGACUAGAGUCUCGGAGAGGGUGGUGGAAUUCCCAGUGUAGAGGUGAAAUUCGUAGAUAUUGGGAGGAACACCAGUGGCGAAGGCGACCGCCUGGACGAAGACUGACGCUGAGGCGCGGAGAGCGUGGGGAGCAAACGAG
rnacentral:rRNA from 1 species